UAGGGAAUCUUCCGCAAUGGACGAAAGUCUGACGGAGCAACGCCGCGUGAGUGAUGAAGGUUUUCGGAUCGUAAAACUCUGUUGUUAGGGAAGAACAAGUAUCGUUCGAAUAGGGCGGUACCUUGACGGUACCUAACCAGAAAGCCACGGCUAACUACGUGCCAGCAGCCGCGGUAAUACGUAGGUGGCAAGCGUUGUCCGGAAUUAUUGGGCGUAAAGCGCGCGCAGGCGGUUUCUUAAGUCUGAUGUGAAAUCUUGCGGCUCAACCGCAAGCGGCCAUUGGAAACUGGGAGACUUGAGUGCAGAAGAGGAGAGUGGAAUUCCACGUGUAGCGGUGAAAUGCGUAGAGAUGUGGAGGAACACCAGUGGCGAAGGCGACUCUCUGGUCUGUAACUGACGCUGAGGCGCGAAAGCGUGGGGAGCGAACAGGAUUAGAUACCCUGGUAGUCCACGCCGUAAACGAUGAGUGCUAAGUGUUAGAGGGUUUCCGCCCUUUAGUGCUGCAGCUAACGCAUUAAGCACUCCGCCUGGGGAGUACGGCCGCAAGGCUG
rnacentral:rRNA from 1 species